AUUGAACGCUGGCGGCAGGCCUAACACAUGCAAGUCGAACGAGUGGCGGACGGGUGAGUAAUGUCUGGGAAACUGCCUGAUGGAGGGGGAUAACUACUGGAAACGGUAGCUAAUACCGCAUACCAUCGGAUGUGCCCAGAGGGGAUUAGCUAGUAGGUGGGGUAAAGGCUCACCUAGGCGACGAUCCCUAGCUGGUCUGAGAGGAUGACCAGCCACGCUGGAACUGAGACACGGUCCAGACUCCAACGGAGGGCAGCAGUGGGGAAUCAUGCACAAUGGGCGCAAGCCUGAUGCCGCCACGCCGCGUGUAUGAAGAAGGCCUUCGGGUUGUAAAGUACUUUCAGCGGGGAGGCGUUAACCGCAGAAGAAGCACCGGCUAACACCGUGCCAGCAGCCGCGGUAAUAC
rnacentral:rRNA from 1 species